rnacentral:rRNA from 1 species
GACGAACGCUGGCGGCGUGCUUAACACAUGCAAGUCGAACGCAGUGGCGAACGGGUGAGUAACGCGUAAUCACCCUGCUCUUCAGAGGAGGACAACAGUUGGAAACGACGGCUAAUACCGCAUACUGAAGGAGGGGAUGGCGUCUGCUUGGGUAGUUGGGGGGGGAACGGCCCACCAAGGCGAUGAUCAGGAGCCGGUCUGGAGGGAUGGACGGCCACAUUGGGACUGAGACACGGCCCAGAAUCCUACGGGAGGCAGCAAUGGGGAAUCUUCCGCAAUGGACGGAAAGCUGACGGAGCAAAGCCGCGUGAGGUAAGGCGGCCUUCGGGUUGUAAAGCUCUGGUAAUCGGGGCGCGGUACCGAAAUAGAAAGCCACGGCUAACUACGUGCCAGCAGCCGCGGUAAUAC